rnacentral:rRNA from 1 species
UACGAAGGGGGCUAGCGUUGUUCGGAAUUACUGGGCGUAAAGCGCACGUAGGCGGACAUUUAAGUCAGGGGUGAAAUCCCAGAGCUCAACUCUGGAACUGCCUUUGAUACUGGGUGUCUUGAGUAUGGAAGAGGUGAGUGGAAUUCCGAGUGUAGAGGUGAAAUUCGUAGAAUAUUCGGAGGAACACCAGUGGCGAAGGCGGCUCACUGGUCCAUUACUG